ACAAAGGGCAGCAAACUCGCGAGAGCUAGCAAAUCCCAUAAACCGUGGCUCAGUUCAGAUCGUAGGCUGCAACUCGCCUACGUGAAGUAGGAAUCGCUAGUAAUCGCAGGUCAGCAUACUGCGGUGAAUACGUUCCCGGGCCUUGUACACACCGCCCGUCACACCAUGGAAGUUGGCCAUGCCCGAAGUCGUUACUCCAACCCUUGUGGAGGAGGACGCCGAAGGUGGGGCUAAUGACUGGGGUGAAGUCGUAACAAGGUAGCCGUACCGGAAGGUGCGGCUGGAUCACCUCCUAA
rnacentral:rRNA from 1 species